GCGGGCGUGGCGGAAUUGGUAGACGCGCUGGUUUUAGGUACCAGUAUCGCAAGAURWGGGGGUUCGAGUCCCUUCGCCCGCACCA
rnacentral:tRNA from 1 species